rnacentral:tRNA from 1 species
GUGGCUAUAACUCAGUGGUAGAGCACAUGCUUUGCAUGCACAAGGUCCUGGGUUCAAUUCCCAAUACCUCCA